rnacentral:lncRNA from 1 species
CAAUCGAUUAUACAGUUUUAACAAUCGAUUGUAUUAAGACAGUGUGAUCUGAAGUUUUUCAAAAUAGCAAACAAUCGAUUAUAUACUUCUAACAAUCGACUGUAUUGAGACAGCACUUAAACUGAAUUUUUCAAUCAGCUAGAUAAUCGACUAUAUGUUCUUAACAAUCGAUUAUAAUCAGAAUAAUCGAUUAUGGUUUUUAUACAAUCGAUUAUAUUCAGACCGUUCC